rnacentral:rRNA from 1 species
AAGCUAUUUAGGUGACACUAUAGAAUACUCAAGCUAUGCAUCCAACGCGUUGGGAGCUCUCCCAUAUGGUCGACCUGCAGGCGGCCGCACUAGUGAUUCCUACGGGGGGCAGCAGUGGGGAAUAUUGCGCAAUGGAGGGAACUCUGAUGCAGCGACGCCGCGUGAGUGAAGAAGGUCUUCGGAUCGUAAAACUCUGUCCUUGGUGAAGAAAAGGACGGUAGCCAAGGAGGAAGCCCCGGCUAACUACGUGCCAGCAGCCGCGGUAAUACGUAGGGGGCGAGCGUUGUCCGGAUUUACUGGGCGUAAAGGGUGAGUAGGCGGUUAUAUAUGUCAGGUGUAAAAAGCUAUGGCUUAACCAUAGUAAGCACUUGAAACUGUAUGACUUGAGUGCAGGAGAGGUAAGCGGAAUUCCUAGUGUAGCGGCGAAAUGCGUAGAUAUUAGGAGGAACACCGAUGGCGAAGGCGGCUUACUGGACUGUAACUGACGCUGAGUCACGAAAGCGUGGGUAGCAAACAGGAUUAGAUACCCUGGUAGUCCACGCUGUAAACGAUGAGUGCUAGGUGUUGGGUAGCGAUAUUCAGUGCCGGAGUAAACACAAUAAGCACUCCGCCUGGGGAGUACGGUCGCAAGACUGAAACUCAAAGGAAUUGACGGGGACCCGCACAAGCAGCGGAGCAUGUGGUUUAAUUCGAAGCAACGCGAAGAACCUUACCAAGGCUUGACAUCCCCUUGACAGAUGCAGAGAUGUAUCCUCCUCUUUUGAGGCAAGGGAGGCAGGUGGUGCAUGGUUGUCGUCAGCUCGUGUCGUGAGAUGUUGGGUUAAGUCCCGCAACG